rnacentral:rRNA from 1 species
UACGUAGGGCGCAAGCGUUAUCCGGAAUUAUUGGGCGUAAAGAGCUCGUAGGCGGUCUGUCGCGUCGGCUGUGAAAACUCGGGGCUCAACCCCGAGCCUGCAGUCGAUACGGGCAGACUAGAGUGCUGUAGGGGAGACUGGAAUUCCUGGUGUAGAGGUGAAAUGCGCAGAUAUCAGGAGGAACACCGGUGGCGAAGGCGGGUCUCUGGGCAGUAACUGACGCUGAGGAGCGAAAGCGUGGGGAGCGAACAGG